GCAUUGGCAGAUGAGUGCUUUGCCAUGGGAGCCAUCUGGAAAGUCUUGUGGACAGUUUGACAUCAGCUAUAGUGGGAGAACUCACACCACAGAAACCCGCAAAUACUACACUUCAGAUACCCUUCAUUGUCUGAAUCCAUAAUUGGAUGCUGCAAGGAGCAUUUACUUGUCCAGAGACAUCAGUGUUCCAUUCUCUGUGGUGAAAACCUCUCCCAUCCACCGAGGUCAAUAAGAAACAAACAUUUAUUGAAAAGAACUAUGAAAAUAUGCCUGCCUUACUUAUGUAUAUUUCACAGACUGUAUGAAGUGAGAUGGCCCCUGUAUGAGCUUCUGUCUCCUCUCUCAGAAAAGAAAAGUAGGUUUCCUAUAAUGACAUCAGUUCUGGUACAUCUUCGCCUACACUUCGCUCACAGCCUUCAAGACCGCAGUUCCUGACGGGGUUCCCAGAUGGCCUUGCACACUCCCACGCUGCUGGUGGGAUGUGCAGGCCCUGAGCCAGAUGGGUCGACAGCAUGUCUGGAAGUCAUGCUUCUUACCUUCCUUCUGUCUAGAUUGGUACAGCAGUCCAUCAUUUUCCUAGUUCUUAAUUUUUUUUCUGUAUAAGUAAUUCCAUUCAUUGUGUUAGCAUAUUGAAAGUAUAUAAAGGUAUAUAAUGAA